CGCGAUACAGAGAAAGACAGCUAAAGCAGUGUAUGAGAGACUGGUUCAGUUGUGUGUCGAGUGAUUAUCAUCCUUGAUUUAAUCGAUGUUCUAGAGUUCGAGAUGACCGGAUAUAUUUGAUCGAUGCACGUGACCAGCAUUACGAAGUCUUUAUAAAAGAGUUUGGUCCUGAGAGAUGGUAGAACCCAGGAACUUGAAUGACUACACUGCUGCCACAGUGCUGGGGGAUUUUUCCUGAAGUGCACUAUCAUCUCCACUGUUUUGAGCGUGUUCAGCUCAAGGUUGUCGUGACUGCACCAUACAGCCAGCUGUUCAACCUCCCAUCUGUAUGCAGACUCAUCAACAUUGCG